AUGUAAGAAAAUCUGUCUUUCAGUAGGAGUAAAUUACUCUUUAGCAAAAGAAUCCAGAUUUUUUCUCCUGUAAGUUAAGUGUCUUGU
rnacentral:pre_miRNA from 1 species